rnacentral:rRNA from 1 species
GACGAACGCUGGCGGCGUGCUUAACACAUGCAAGUCGAACGCGCCUGUCCUCUGGGUUUCUGGGGGGUGGGUGAGUGGCGAACGGGUGAGUAACACGUGAGUAACCUGCCCCCUUCUUCGGGAUAACGGUCUGAAAGGGCUGCUAAUACCGGGUAUUCACUGGUCUCCGCAUGGGGUCUGGUGGAAAGGUUUUUUUCUGGUGGGGGAUGGGCUCGCGGCCUAUCAGCUUGUUGGUGGGGUGAUGGCCCACCAAGGCUUUGACGGGUAGCCGGCCUGAGAGGGUGACCGGUCACAUUGGGACUGAGAUACGGCCCAGACUACUACGGGAGGCAGCAGUGGGGAAUAUUGCACAAUGGGCGCAAGCCUGAUGCAGCGACGCCGCGUGAGGGAUGGAGGCCUUCGGGUUGUGAACCUCUUUCGCCCGUGGUCAAGCCGCGACGUGGGUCGUGGUGAGGGUAGUGGGUAAAGAAGCGCCGGCUAACUACGUG